rnacentral:rRNA from 1 species
AGCAUAUCAAUAAGCGGAGGAAAAGAAACUAACAAGGAUUCCCCUAGUAACUGCGAGUGAAGCGGGAAAAGCUCAAAUUUAAAAUCUGGCGGUCUUUGGCCGUCCGAGUUGUAGUCUGGAGAAGUGCUUUCCGCGCUGGACCGUGUAUAAGUCUCUUGGAACAGAGCGUCAUAGAGGGUGAGAAUCCCGUCUUUGACACGGACUACCAGUGCUUUGUGAUGCGCUCUCAAAGAGUCGAGUUGUUUGGGAAUGCAGCUCAAAAUGGGUGGUGAAUUCCAUCUAAAGCUAAAUAUUGGCGAGAGACCGAUAGCGAACAAGUACCGUGAGGGAAAGAUGAAAAGCACUUUGGAAAGAGAGUUAAACAGUACGUGAAAUUGCUGAAAGGGAAACGCUUGAAGUCAGUCGCGUUGUCCGGAACUCAGCCUUGCUUUCGCUUGGUGCACUUUCCGGAUGACGGGUCAGCAUCGAUUUUGACCGUCGGAAAAGGGCUGGAGUAAUGUGGCACCUCCGGGUGUGUUAUAGACUCUGGUCGCAUACGGCGGUUGGGAUCGAGGAACGCAGCGCGCCGCAAGGCAGGGGUUCGCCCACUUUCGCGCUUAGGAUGCUGGCAUAAUGGCUUUAAACGACCCGUCUUGAAACACGGACCAAGGAGUCUAACAUACCUGCGAGUGUUUGGGUGGAAAACCCGAGCGCGUAAUGAAAGUGAAAGUUGAGAUCCCUGUCGUGGGGAGCAUCGACGCCCGGACCUGACGUUCUCUGACGGAUCCGCGGUAGAGCAUGUAUGUUGGGACCCGAAAGAUGGUGAACUAUGCCUGAAUAGGGUGAAGCCAGAGGAAACUCUGGUGGAGGCUCGUAGCGAUUCUGACGUGCAAAUCGAUCGUCAAAUUUGGGUAUAGGGGCGAAAGACUAAUCGAACCAUCUAG